AGUCCGUUGCCCUUCACUCGCCUCCUAUCUUUGCUCGCCUCCUGGUCAGGACGAAGCCGCGAGAACCCACGCAUCCGGCGGUGUCUCUGCCCACCUGCCGUGGUGGGCGAGUUGCUUCCUGUCCCGCCUCCCUAUCCUUCUCCCUCUCCCUGCUCUGCAACACGAAAGCGCACGGGAGGCGGCUGAUCAGCUGAGCUGCCAGCAUGUCCGCACCCAAGGAGGGAAAUCGCGGGGAAUCAAAGGAGAAAUUCUGGCUCUACGCCUUUCGCGAUCACUUGGCAAACCUGCGGGCCUUUUCGAACUGCAUCGAAACCGCCGAUGUGAACGGGGUCGGGGACUACCAGCUUCUCGUGGCUGAUGGCAGCAAGCGCAUCAAGGUGUACGCCGGCACAUCUCUCCAGCGUGAGCUGCCGCUCUUCGGGGUGCCGUCCGCGAUCACGUCUUUUUUCAUGGAUGACGGCGACGCCUUUAGCAAGCCGGUCGUCGCGGUCGCCACGGGGCCAUACAUUUUCAUGUACCGCAGCAACAAGCCGCUCUACCGCUUCAUGGUGCCACCGGUUCCUCUCGACCCAAAGGAGUCGGUGAUCUGGCAGGACCUUGCCACUGAGGUACUCACCGUUGAGGAGGCAGUGAAGCAGCUAGAGAGCCUGCUAGACUCCGGCGUGCAGACCUCCUCGCGCACGCUGGAAUUGCUGCUCAAGGAGACGCCGGAGGAGCGCGGUGAGUUUGUCUCUCGCCUGCGCUCAGUUCCGCUCAUCCAAAUGGACGUUGUCUGCUGCUUGACAUCCAUCCCGCUAAACUCGCUGGACGAGGGAGGAAGGAGCGUGCUGGUGAUUGGCACCGAGGCGGGUUUCCUCUACGUCCUCAAGCACAACGCGGCCGAGGUGGCGGUGAAAGUGGUGCUGCCUAGCACGCCUGUGUUUCUCAUUGCGGCCGGGUGCUUUGAGGUGAACUAUCGAAUGGUCGUCGCGUGCCGCGACGGCCGCGUGUACUCGAUCAAGCAAGGUAGCCUGCACAACGCUGUGAUUCAGCCGGACGCGCAGCCGUGCGCCAUUGCGCGGUACAACAACCUCAUCGCUGUGGCCACAACGGCGAACACGCUCUCCUACUACAACCUCAAAGGCAAGAAACAGCAGAGCGUCUUCUUGCCGUGCUCAAUCAGUGGCCUCUCCACCAUCAACGACGCCGUCACUGGCGAGGCACACGGGCUUGUCGUGGCACUCAGCAACGGUGAGAUUCGAGUUUACGUCGGCACUCAGCUGCACCACGUCAGCUUGGCUUACGGCACCGUGACGGCGAUGAAGUUUGGUCGCUACGGCCGCUCAGACGGCGCGCUUGUGCUGGUGCUGCAGAACGGCUCUCUCGUGGUUGAGCUGCUUCACCGCGGUGUGAACUUGUCUUCUAGCAAAAAGGUAGAAACUGGCCCACCACCGCAGCAGGACGUCCCCAUCCCCAUCCCGCACCUCAGCUCCGUAUUCGCGACGCAGUCAUCGCGCGAGCGCAAGCACGGGGUGGAGAUGUACCAGCUCUUCCAGUACGACCUGUCGCAGCUGCGGCUCACGACGGCGAAGGCGUACCUCGAAAUGAUCGCCAACGGCUCUGUCCCCUCCGAGUUGGGCAACGUGAUCCAAGAGAAUGAAGGGGUGGCGGAGUCGUCGCUGCGGCUGAACGCCGUCGUUCAGGGACUUGGGCCGGUGUUCAAGGUGAAGGUGCAGCUGCAGAACGUCGGAGACGCGCCACUGCACGCCGUGCGCGUCGUGUUCUGUCUCUCUGAAGACGACGUCUAUCGUAUGCCGCAGCAGAUCUUUUCGAUUCCUACGUUGCUACCCUCUGUGCCGCUCUCCUGCGCUGCAUUUGUGACAACUUCGGAAGGGGAGGCCAAGGGCAACGCCAUUCUGGUCGUUGCAACCGGUCCAAAGAGCCGUACACCGUUGGCACGCACGCUCGUUGAUCUGCCGGAGGUGGACGCAAUGGCAGAAAUGUAGCUCUAUCAGGAGGCGGUUAGAGACCACUCAUUCGUCUUGUCGAGACCGAUUGAGGCUGUCUGUCGGCUAUUUCGCCCCUCCCGCCGUCGGUGUCGUCCCCCCCUCCCCGUAUUUGAAAAAGAACAGAUACGCUCGCCCUGAGCCCCUUUCGCUGUUUGCUGCAAGGGAUAGGAUGGGAAGUGGAUCGCUGCGUGCGUUUAUGUGUGUGUAUGGGGGCGGGCUGGUGGUGAUGAGGGAUCUAUUAUUUGUUUCUCGUGAACUCUGCUGCAGGUGGCGUGCGUCUGCACGCGCAUCCUGCCUCUACUUGCACUGAGGAUCUGCAGGCUGCACAGCUCGGAUGACGGAGGAGGCGGGAGUAAGAUGCAGUGAAAGGGAGGGGGCUCCAUCUCUUUCUUUUGUUCUGACGCGGCUGCUUUUUCAGCCUCAUGUUCUGUGUGCACUGACCAAUGCUGGCUGC
rnacentral:misc_RNA from 1 species